rnacentral:rRNA from 1 species
AUGACGGGGGCCAGGGUUCUCUCGACGCCGGCGCAGAGGAACUUGGGGUCCUUGGCAACGAGAGCUGCGACAUCGGCGUCGGAGAGGCCGAGGCCGGCGAGGAAGGCGAGCACGGCGUCGGGAUUGGCGGGGGACUUGAGGUGGGAGAGCUUGGCGGAGGCCUUGAGGGCCUGGGGUCGGGUGAGGCCGCAGGUGGAGACGAGGUACUCCUCCACGGCGAAGCUAGGGUUUGGGGAGAUGGCGGGCGCGGCGGCGGAGAUGAGGCGGUGGAGAGGGGAUACGGGAGAGGCGGAGAGAGACGAGAGGACCUGGGCGAGGACGCCGCGACGGAGCCGGAGCAUGGCGGCGCCGGCGGCGAGGGGAUGGUGCGAGACGGAGAGAGUGGUGAGGGUUCGCGUUGGUGCUGCGGUGUUGCUCCACCGUUGA